UACAGAGGCCUCGAGCGUUGCGCGGAAUCACUGGGCUUAAAGGGCGCGUAGGCGGCCGUGUAAGUCACUUGUGAAAUCCCGGGGCUCAACUCCGGGGCUGCAGGUGAGACUGCGUGGCUAGAGCACGGUAGAGGCGAGUGGAAUUCCCGGUGUAGCGGUGGAAUGCGUAGAGAUGUGGAGGAACACCAGUGGCGAAGGCGACUCUUUGGCCUGUAACUGACGCUGAGGCGCGAAAGCGUGGGGAGCAAACAGG
rnacentral:rRNA from 1 species